UCUCCUGGAAAACGGGUGGUAAUGCCGGAUGUUCCAGUUGAUCGCAUGGUCUUCUGGGAAAGCUUUCGCGGUAUGGGAUGGGGUCGCGUCCUAUCAGCUUGACGGCGGGGUAACGGCCCACCGUGGCUUCGACGGGUAGCCGGCCUGAGAGGGCGACCGGCCACAUUGGGACUGAGAUACGGCCCAGACUCCUACGGGAGGCAGCAGUGGGGAAUAUUGCACAAUGGGCGCAAGCCUGAUGCAGCGACGCCGCGUGAGGGAUGGAGGCCUUCGGGUUGUAAACCUCUUUUAUCGGGGAGCAAGCGUGAGUGAGUUUACCCGUUGAAUAAGCACCGGCUAACUACGUGCCAGCAGCCGCGGUAAUACGUAGGGUGCAAGCGUUAUCCGGAAUUAUUGGGCGUAAAGGGCUCGUAGGCGGUUCGUCGCGUCCGGUGUGAAAGUCCAUCGCUUAACGGUGGAUCCGCGCCGGGUACGGGCGGGCUUGAGUGCGGUAGGGGAGACUGGAAUUCCCGGUGUAACGGUGGAAUGUGUAGAUAUCGGGAAGAACACC
rnacentral:rRNA from 1 species